CAGCAGCCGCGGUAAUACCGGCGGCCCGAGUGGCGGUCACUCUUAUUGGGCUUAAAGCGUCCGUAGCCGGGUUGGGAAGUCCUCCGGGAAAUCUGGCCGCUUAACGGUCAGAAUGCCGGAGGAUACUCCCAGCCUAGGGAGCGGGAGAGGCCGAGGGGAUUCCCGGGGUAGGGGGGGAAUCCUAUAAUCCCGGGAGGACCACCUGUGGCGAAGGCGCUCGGCGGGAACGCGGCCGACGGUGAGGGACGAAGGCCAGGGGAGCAAACCGGAUUAGAUACCCGGGUAGUCCUGGCUGUAAACGAUGCGGACUUUGUGUCGGACAAGCUAUGAGCUUGUCCGGUGCCGGAGGGAAACCGUUAAGUCCGCCGCCUGGGGAGUACGGCCGCAAGGCUGAAACUUAAAGGAAUUGGCGGG
rnacentral:rRNA from 1 species